AUGGCUGAAUGCUUCAAUAGGGUGCUCAAAGGUGCACGUGGAUUACCCGUGACGGCAAUAGUUCAAUACACAUUUGACAAGAUGAAUGCGUACUUUCUAAAGUACUCGAUGGAAACUGAUGCACAUAUAGCGGGUGAGAACCCGCGCAAGUACAAGUACCCACCCAAGGUUGAUGAAUGGUUAGAAUUUCAAUCACGAAAGGAGGACUCAGAAGAAGCUAUAUUAUAUGACAACGAAGAGUGGAAGUACGAAGUGAAAGAGCUAGGAGGAACCACAAACGAUGGCCGGCAACAUGGAGGUCGGGCUUUCAAGGUGUCUUUAACACAAUGUGAUUGCUCUUGCGGGAGGCCAUUGUUGCUUCAUCUCCCAUGCUCAUUGUAUACCGCCGGUCGCGUUAGAAAUGUGGACAUCAAUCACCCACGCACCGUGAGGGAGUUGGAGUUCUCAAUCAUGACAGUCAAGAAAACAUGGGCUCCCCGCUUUCACCCAUACUUUGACCAAUCACAAUGGCCGGAGUACCAUGGAGUUCAACUAUGGCCGGAUCCG
rnacentral:rRNA from 1 species